CCCAGAGGGUUCUGCAGCAGG
rnacentral:misc_RNA from 1 species